rnacentral:rRNA from 1 species
GGAAAGGCGCGCGAUACAGGGUGACAGCCCCGUACACAAAAAUGCACAUGCUGUGAGCUCGAUGAGUAGGGCGGGACACGUGGUAUCCUGUCUGAAUAUGGGGGGACCAUCCUCCAAGGCUAAAUACUCCUGACUGACCGAUAGUGAACCAGUACCGUGAGGGAAAGGCGAAAAGAACCCCGGCGAGGGGAGUGAAAAAGAACCUGAAACCGUGUACGUACAAGCAGUGGGAGCACGCUUAGGCGUGUGACUGCGUACCUUUUGUAUAAUGGGUCAGCGACUUAUAUUCUGUAGCAAGGUUAACCGAAUAGGGGAGCCGAAGGGAAACCGAGUCUUAACUGGGCGUUAAGUUGCAGGGUAUAGACCCGAAACCCGGUGAUCUAGCCAUGGGCAGGUUGAAGGUUGGGUAACACUAACUGGAGGACCGAACCGACUAAUGUUGAAAAAUUAGCGGAUGACUUGUGGCUGGGGGUGAAAGGCCAAUCAAACCGGGAGAUAGCUGGUUCUCCCCGAAAGCUAUUUAGGUAGCGCCUCGUGAAUUCAUCUCCGGGGGUAGAGCACUGUUUCGGCAAGGGGGUCAUCCCGACUUACCAACCCGAUGCAAACUGCGAAUACCGGAGAAUGUUAUCACGGGAGACACACGGCGGGUGCUAACGUCCGUCGUGAAGAGGGAAACAACCCAGACCGCCAGCUAAGGUCCCAAAGUCAUGGUUAAGUGGGAAACGAUGUGGGAAGGCCCAGACAGCCAGGAUGUUGGCUUAGAAGCAGCCAUCAUUUAAAGAAAGCGUAAUAGCUCACUGGUCGAGUCGGCCUGCGCGGAAGAUGUAACGGGGCUAAACCAUGCACCGAAGCUGCGGCAGCGACGCUGAUGCGUUGUUGGGUAGGGGAGCGUUCUGUAAGCCUGUGAAGGUGUGCUGUGAGGCAUGCUGGAGGUAUC